GAUGAUUGUUAGCACCUGGCUUCACAUUCUUUCAGUUGUUUCCUGCAGGCCUUCUGAAGCAGAACCUCGGGCUCUACUGACUACUUGUCCAGAUCAAAAGGUGUUUCCUGCAAGACGAUUUGGUCUUGUCUCAGAAAUUUUACCUGAUCUGGGAGACUUCAUGAACACGAUGGAAGAGUAGUCACAUAUUUUAUGCUACGCUGGGUGAAGAAUGGCUGGCUGUGGAGAAAUGCAAUUGGACAAUGGAAAUCUGAUCUAAUGGUCCUUGCCCCCCGUUUCAGACUGUUGGAGGAUGAUGGUUCUUCAAAGCAUGUAACCCCGCAGUUCUACUGUCUCCUCAGUCGGGACAAGACUUUCAGCCCUGGUUAGGCAGGCUCGGUGCCGCCUCCUCCGUCUGAAGCAGCUCCUCGGCCUCCUUCACGCCCCGAGAAGAAAGGCAGGGGGUGAGGUCGGAUGAAGGAAAUGAGAACCAAGUGGAAAGGAGGCAAGGAACUUGCUAUUUCAAAAAUUAUACUUGAAAUUUAAAAAAAAAGACUGCAGUUUCAGGACACAAACCUGAUUUUUACUUUUUCUUUUUCUUCUCUCAAAACAGCAAACUUGGGCAAUAGCCUUUUGGCUCCAAAUGGGUCUACCCAUUCUCUUUUGACUUGAAAAUUCUCCUCUUUCCCCUAGGAAUAGACCACCCUUUGGGGUGUCCUACAUGAAUCAACCAUUAUCUCACUAUGGCUGGGUUACCCUCUCCUACUCCUGAGACAAGCCUGAGGCUAUUGUUACAGGCCUGGGGUGAUGGCGAGGCCUUCUGGGGGUGGUUUCUAGGUCUUUUCUGUCCUGAACAAAGAAUUGAACCAAACAAGCACAAAUGGUGGCAGUUUCACGUUUAUUAAAGGUGGGAGAAAAGCAGAAGGGUAGGGAAAAACAGGCUGUACAGAGUGAGUCUGGGCUGCGUAAAAAGGGAGGAAAAAUUAAAAAUAAAAAUACACCCUACAGUAGCAUGGGCUACUGAAGAGGGGCAACAGUGAGCU